AUACUUACCUGGCAAGGGAGAUACCGUGAUCAAGAAGGCGGUUCACCCAGGGUGAGGCUCAGCCAUUGCACUCCGGCUGUGCUGACCCCUGCGAAUUUCCCAAAUGUGGAAAUCUCGAUUGCAUAAUUUCUGGUAGUGGGGGACUGCGUUCGCGCUCUCCCCUG
ensembl:snRNA U1 U1 spliceosomal RNA